rnacentral:rRNA from 1 species
AUUGAACGCUGGCGGCAGGCCUAACACAUGCAAGUCGAGCGGAUGAAGGGUGCUUGCUCCUGGAUUCAGCGGCGGACGGGUGAGUAAUGCCUAGGAAUCUGCCUCGUAUUGCUUGAUAACGUCCUGAAACGGGCGCUACUACCGCCUACGUCCUGCUGCAGCAAGUGGGGGAUCUUCGGACCUCUCGCUCUCAUAUGAGCCUAGGUCGGAUUAGCUAGUUGGUGGGGUAAAGGCCUACCAAGGCGACGAUCCGUAACUGGUCUGAGAGGAUGAUCAGUCACACUGGAACUGAGACACGGUCCAGACUCCUACGGGAGGCAGCAGUGGGGAAUAUUGGGCAAUAGGCGAGAGCCUGAUCCAGCCAUGCCGCGUGUGUGAAGAAGGUCUUCGGAUUGUAAAGCACUUUAAGUGGGGAGGAAGGGCAGUAAGUUAAGACCUAGCUGUUUUGACGUUACCAACAGAAUAAGCACCGGCUAACUUCGUG